CCUACGGGAGGCAGUAGUAGGGAAUCUUUCACAAUGGGCGAAAGCCUGAUGGAGCAACGCCGCGUGGGUGAAGAAGGUCUUCGGAUCGUAAAACCCUGUUGUUAGAGAAGAAAGUGCGUGAGAGUAACUGUUCACGUUUCGACGGUAUCUAACCAGAAAGCCACGGCUAACUACGUGCCAGCAGCCGCGGUAAUACGUAGGUGGCAAGCGUUAUCCGGAUUUAUUGGGCGUAAAGGGAACGCCGGCGGUCCUUUAAGUCUGAUGUGAAAGCCUUCGGCUUAACCGGAGUAGUGCAUUGGAAACUGGGAGACGUGAGUGCAGAAGAGGAGAGUGGAACUCCAUGGGUAGCGGUGAAAUGCGUAGAUAUAUGGAAGAACACCAGUGGCGAAAGCGGCUCUCUGGUCUGUAACUGACGCUGAGGUUCGAAAGCGUGGGUAGCAAACAGGAUUAGAUACCCGUGUAGUC
rnacentral:rRNA from 1 species